AUGCUCAUUUCAGCAUCACAUAAACCAAAAUGGAAACGAUAAAGAGAUUAGCAUGGCCCCUGCGCAAGGAUGACAGCAAAUUCGCCAAGCAUUCCAUAUUAAA